AUUGAACGCUGGCGGCGUGCUUAACACAUGCAAGUCGAACGGUAAGGCCCUUCGGGGUACACGAGUGGCGAACGGGUGAGUAACACGUGGGUGAUCUGCCCUGCACUUCGGGAUAAGCCUGGGAAACUGGGUCUAAUACCGGAUAGGACUCCGGACUGCAUGGUCUGGGGUGGAAAGCUUUUGCGGUGUGGGAUGGGCCCGCGGCCUAUCAGCUUGUUGGUGGGGUGGUGGCCUACCAAGGCGACGACGGGUAGCCGGCCUGAGAGGGUGACCGGCCACACUGGGACUGAGAUACGGCCCAGACUCCUACGGGAGGCAGCAGUGGGGAAUAUUGCACAAUGGGCGCAAGCCUGAUGCAGCGACGCCGCGUGAGGGAUGACGGCCUUCGGGUUGUAAACCUCUUUCAGCAUCGACGAAGCGAAAGUGACGGUAGGUGCAGAAGAAGGACCGGCCAACUACGUGCCAGCCGCCGCAGUAA
rnacentral:rRNA from 1 species